UACGUAGGUGGCAAGCGUUAUCCGGAAUUAUUGGGCGUAAAGAGCGCGCAGGUGGUUGAUUAAGUCUGAUGUGAAAGCCCACGGCUUAACCGUGGAGGGUCAUUGGAAACUGGUCGACUUGAGUGCAGAAGAGGGAAGUGGAAUUCCAGGUGUAGCGGUGGAAUGCGCAGAUAUCUGGAGGAACACCAGUGGCGAAGGCGGCCUCCUGGACCAUUCCUGACACUCAGACGCGAAAGCAUGGGUAGCGAACAGGAUUAGA
rnacentral:rRNA from 1 species